GUCGCCGCUGCUCCGGGCGGCCGGCGUGCUCGCGUCUUGCGCGGCUUCCGUCUCUGCCGGCCUCGCGAUCGUAUACUCCUGAAGCCUCUCACUCCACACCACCUACAUACAGUAAAACGCCCGUCAGAGAGACCCAGAAACUCUGGGAACUUGAAUUCUGUGGAGUCCAUUUUCUCUAUCAGUUCUGUUUUUAUAAUACGAAGCAUUUUUCAGAAAAAAGACUAGUAGGAUCUGUUACCAGUAAAUGAUACAGAAGCA